rnacentral:rRNA from 1 species
ACGGCUCAGUAACACGUGGAUAACCUGCCCUUGGGUCCGGCAUAACCCCGGGAAACUGUGGAUAAUACCGGAUAACGCACAUAUGCUGGAAUGCUUUAUGCGUAAAAUGGAUUCGUCUGCCCAAGGAUGGGUCUGCGGCCUAUCAGGUAGUAGUGGGUGUAAUGUACCUACUAGCCAACAACGGGUACGGGUUGUGAGAGCAAGAGCCCGGAGAUGGAUUCUGAGACAUGAAUCCAGGCCCUACGGGGCGCAGCAGGCGCGAAAACUUUACAAUGCGGGAAACCGUGAUAAGGGGACACCGAGUGUCAGCAUCAUAUGCUGGCUGUCCAGGUGUGUAAAAUACACCUGUUAGCAAGGGCCGGGCAAGACCGGUGCCAGCCGCCGCGGUAACACCGGCGGCCCGAGUGGUGAUCGUGAUUAUUGGGUCUAAAGGGUCCGUAGCCGGUUUGGUCAGUCCUCCGGGAAAUCUGAUAGCUCAACUAUUAGGCUAUCGGGGGAUACUACCAGACUUGGAACCGGGAGAGGUAAGAGGUACUACAGGGGUAGGAGUGAAAUCUUGUAAUCCCUGUGGGACCACCUGUGGCGAAGGCGUCUUACCAGAACGGGUUCGACGGUGAGGGACGAAAGCUGGGGGCACGAACCGGAUUAGAUACCCGGGUAGUCCCAGCCGUAAACGAUGCUCGCUAGGUGUCAGGCAUGCGCGACCGUGUCUGGUGCCGCAGGAAGCCGUGAAGCGAGCUACCUGGGAAGUACGGCCGCAAGGCUGAAACUUAAAGGAUUGGCGGGGGGAGCCAC